rnacentral:rRNA from 1 species
AUUGAACGCUGGCGGCAGGCCUAACACAUGCAAGUCGAGCGGAUGAAGGGAGCUUGCUCCUGGAUUCAGCGGCGGACGGGUGAGUAAUGCCUAGGAAUCUGCCUGGUAGUGGGGGAUAACGUCCGGAAACGGGCGCUAAUACCGCAUACGUCCUGAGGGAGAAAGUGGGGGAUCUUCGGACCUCACGCUAUCAGAUGAGCCUAGGUCGGAUUAGCUAGUUGGUGGGGUAAAGGCCUACCAAGGCGACGAUCCGUAACUGGUCUGAGAGGAUGAUCAGUCGCACUGGAACUGGGACACGGUCCAGACUCCUACGGGAGGCAGCAGUGGGGAAUAUUGGACAAUGGGCGAAAGCCUGAUCCAGCCAUGCCGCGUGUGUGAAGAAGGUCUUCGGAUUGUAAAGCACUUUAAGUUGGGAGGAAGGGCAGUAAGUUAAUACCUUGCUGUUUUGACGUUACCAACAGAAUAAGCACCGGCUAACUUCGUG